ACCUACGGGGGGCAGCAGUGAGGAAUAUUGGUCAAUGGGCGCGAGCCUGAACCAGCCAAGUCGCGUGCAGGAAGAAGGUUUUCGGAUUGUAAACUGCUUUAGACAGGGAAGAAACAAGACAGUACCUGUAGAAUAAGCUCCGGCUAACUACGUGCCAGCAGCCGCGGUAAUACGUAGGGAGCAAGCGUUAUCCGGAUUUAUUGGGUGUAAAGGGUGCGUAGACGGGAAAUUAAGUUAGUUGUGAAAUCCCUCGGCUUAACUGAGGAACUGCAACUAAAACUGAUUUUCUUGAGUGUUGGAGAGGA
rnacentral:rRNA from 1 species